ensembl:snRNA U1 U1 spliceosomal RNA
AUACUUACCUGGCAGGGGAGAUACCAUGAUCACGAAGGUGGUUUUCCCAGGGUGAGGCUCAUCCAUUGCACUGCGGGUGUGCUGACCCCUGCGAUUUCCCCAAAUGCGGGAAACUCGACUGCAUAAUUUGUGGUAGUGGGGGACUGCGUUCGCGCUCUCCCCUG